AGAGUUUGAUCCUGGCUCAGAUUGAACGCUGGCGGAAUGCUUUACACAUGCAAGUCGAGCGGCAGCGCGGGGCAACCUGGCGGCGAGCGGCGAACGGGUGAGUAAUACAUCGGAACGUGCCCAGACGUGGGGGAUAACUACUCGAAAGAGUGGCUAAUACCGCAUACGAUCUGAGGAUGAAAGCGGGGGAUCGCAAGACCUCGCGCGUCUGGAGCGGCCGAUGGCAGAUUAGGUAGUUGGUGAGGUAAAGGCUUACCAAGCCUGCGAUCUGUAGCUGGUCUGAGAGGAUGAUCAGCCACACUGGGACUGAGACACGGCCCAGACUCCUACGGGAGGCAGCAGUGGGGAAUUUUGGACAAUGGGCGAAAGCCUGAUCCAGCCAUUCCGCGUGCAGGAUGAAGGCCCUCGGGUUGUAAACUGCUUUUGUACGGAACGAAAAAGCUCCGGCUAAUACCUGGAGUCCAUGACGGUACCGUAAGAAUAAGCACCGGCUAACUACGUGCCAGCAGCCGCGGUAAUACGUAGGGUGCAAGCGUUAAUCGGAAUUACUGGGCGUAAAGCGUGCGCAGGCGGUUUUGUAAGACAGAGGUGAAAUCCCCGGGCUCAACCUGGGAACUGCCUUUGUGACUGCAAGGCUGGAGUGCGGCAGAGGGGGAUGGAAUUCCGCGUGUAGCAGUGAAAUGCGUAGAUAUGCGGAGGAACACCGAUGGCGAAGGCAAUCCCCUGGGCCUGCACUGACGCUCAUGCACGAAAGCGUGGGGAGCAAACAGGAGCAGAUACCCUGGUAGUCCACGCCCUAAACGAUGUCAACUGGUUGUUGGGAAUUCAUUUUCUCAGUAACGAAGCUAACGCGUGAAGUUGACCGCCUGGGGAGUACGGCCGCAAGGCU
rnacentral:rRNA from 1 species